rnacentral:lncRNA from 1 species
AGCUGUUCCUCCGGUACGACACCUUCACGGCCAAAGUCGGCCUCGACCUUCUCGGCACCAAGGUUGAGUUCACCGGCGUCACCAAGGCAACGUCCGGUGUGGCAGACGCUGUUUAAAUCCUUCACCGGACGGCCAUCGGUGACAAAGGGAUCAACGCAGGGCAGCAACGAUCCUUACACCGUCAUCACGUACGUACGUACGUGCCUCGCUAUAUCUACCUUAGUAGUGUACGUACGAGUCAGUCAUGCAUGUGCAUGCAUCUUGUUCGGUUGCUUCGCAGCAUUGUGCCCUCGUGUAUGUGUGCGUGUGUUGUGUUUACUUU